ACAACGCNCUAAUCGGUGCCAUUCAAACUCCGUUAUUGUCCAGACACUACGGGAAUCUACAAGACCCGGCGUGCGCGCGAUGUGACUACUUCAGUUGCUCAAUAAUAUGGAACCGGCCUUCCAGACCCAUUAGAAAACUUUGAAGUAGCACGACCCCUAUCUCGUAACGUUAAUAACGAGAAUUUGCUCCUUAGGGAUCAUUCGCACUCAGUAGUCGAGCGCAACUAAUGCAGGGACGGGAAACAUGUGUGGCGGGCAGCGAUGAUGGCUAACUUACCGAAUCACUCUGGGAGCCUAACCAUAAGCCACCAACCNUUGUUAGNGACAAGAGNCUUUUCAACCAGUUUGAACCAGUNAAUNUCCUUCAUUUUCAGCAUUGUUCCAAAGGCAUCCNCUUGGACGCCUUCCUAGUAAUUGNUUGUUUUCCAAGCGAUAUGAUCAAAUGAUCAUACUUAGAAAACCCUAGUUGGUUUUGGACAUACU
rnacentral:rRNA from 1 species